rnacentral:rRNA from 1 species
AUGCUGCCGAGAAAAGCCUCUAGUGAGUUCAUACACGGCCCGUACCCCAAACCGACACAGGUGAUCAGGUAGAGAAUACCAAGGCGAUCGAGAGAACUGUGGUUAAGGAACUCGGCAAAAUGCCCCCGUAACUUCGGGAGAAGGGGGACCAUGCCCGGUGAACAUCUUCACGGUGGGAGCUGGGUGUGGUCGCAGAGACCAGAGAGAAGCGACUGUUUACUAAAAACACAGGUCCGUGCGAAGACGUAAGUCGAUGUAUACGGACUGACGCCUGCCCGGUGCUAGAAGGUUAAGAGGACCGGUUAGCCGUAAGGCGAAGCUGAGAAUUUAAGCCCCAGUAAACGGCGGUGGUAACUAUAACCAUCCUAAGGUAGCGAAAUUCCUUGUCGGGUAAGUUCCGACCUGCACGAAUGGCGUAACGACUUCUCUGCUGUCUCGACCACAGACUCGGCGAAAUUGCACUACGAGUAAAGAUGCUCGUUACGCGCGGCAGGACGAAAAGACCCCGGGACCUUUACUAUAGCUUGGUAUUGGCGUUCGAUUCGGUUUGUGUAGGAUAGGUGGGAGACUGUGAAGCAUGCACGCCAGUGUGUGUGGAGUCGUUGUUGAAAUACCACUCUGAUCGUAUUGGACGUCUAACCUCGGCCCAUGAUCUGGGUUAGGGACAGUGCCUGGUGGGUAGUUUAACUGGGGCGGUUGCCUCCUAAAGAGUAACGGAGGCGCCCAAAGGUUCCCUCAGCCUGGAUGGCAAUCAGGUGUUGAGUGCAAGUGCACAAGGGAGCUUGACUGUGAGACUGACACGUCGAGCAGGGACGAAAGUCGGGACUAGUGAUCCGGCACCGGCAAGUGGAAGCGGUGUCGCUCAACGGAUAAAAGGUACCCCGGGGAUAACAGGCUGAUCUUCCCCAAGAGUCCAUAUCGACGGGAUGGUUUGGCACCUCGAUGUCGGCUCGUCGCAUCCUGGGGCUGGAGUAGGUCCCAAGGGUUGGGCUGUUCGCCCAUUAAAGCGGCACGCGAGCUGGGUUUAGAACGUCGUGAGACAGUUCGGUCUCUAUCCGCCGCGCGCGUAAGAAACUUGAGGAAGGCUGUCCCUAGUACGAGAGGACCGGGACGGACGAACCUCUGGUGUGCCAGUUGUUCCACCAGGAGCAUGGCUGGUUAGCUACGUUCGGAAGGGAUAACCGCUGAAAGCAUCUAAGCGGGAAGCCUGUUCCAAGAUGAGGUUUCUCACCACCUUGCGUGGUUAAGGCCCCCUACAGACCAUGGGGUUGAUAGGCCGGAACUGGAAGCGCAGCAAUGCGUGGAGGUGACCGGUACUAAUAGGCCGAGGGCAU